rnacentral:rRNA from 1 species
AUGAACGCUGGCGGCGUGCUUAACACCUGCAAGUCGAACGAAGCACUUUAUUUGAUUUCCUUCGGGACUGAUUAUUUUGUGACUGAGUGGCGGACGGGUGAGUAACGCGUGGGUAACCUGCCUUGUACAGGGGGAUAACAGUUGGAAACGGCUGCUACUACCGCAUAAGCGCACGGCAUCGCAUGAUGCAGUGUGAAAAACUCCGGUGGUAUAAGAUGGACCCGCGUUGGAUUAGCUAGUUGGAGAGGUAACGGCCCACCAAGGCGACGAUCCAUAGCCGACCAGAGAGGGUGACCGGCCACAUUGGGACGGAGACACGGCCCAAACUCCUACGGGAGGCAGCAGUGGGGAAUAUUGCACAAUGGGCGAAAGCCUGAUGCAGCGACGCCGCGUGAGCGAAGAAGUAUUUCGGUAUGUAAAGCUCUAUCAGCAGGGAAGAUAAUGACGGUACCUGACUAAGAAGCACCGGCUAAAUACGUG